UACGAAGGGGGCUAGCGUUGCUCGGAAUCACUGGGCGUAAAGGGCGCGUAGGCGGCCAUCUAAGUCAGACGUGAAAUCCCCCGGCUUAACCUGGGAACUGCGUCUGAUACUGGACGGCUCGAGUUUGGGAGAGGGAUGCAGAAUUCCAGGUGUAGCGGUGAAAUGCGUAGAUAUCUGGAGGAAUACCGGUGGCGAAGGCGGCAUCCUGGACUAAUACUGACGCUGAGGCGCGAAAGCUAGGGGAGCAAACGGG
rnacentral:rRNA from 1 species